rnacentral:lncRNA from 1 species
GGACGGGGGCGCGGCACGGACUUUAAUGCUUCAAUAUAAUAUAGUUAUGUAAAUUAUUUUUAAGAUUUUCUUUUUUUGUAUAAAAGUAUAACAUAUAUAUUUUUAUACAAAAAAAGAAAAUCUGAAAAAAAAGUUGUAAAACUAUGUUUUAUAAGAGCCUUAAAAAACGUGUCGAGCAGUGAAAAAGAAACGUAUACAAUUGACUGGGACAGAGGGAGUA